GACGAACGCUGGCGGCGUGCCUAAUACAUGCAAGUCGAACGCAGUGGGAACAGGUUCGUAACACGUGGGUAACCUCCCAUCAGAGGGGAGAACACUUGGAAACAGGUGCUAAACCGAUACGGAUGGAGCGACCCGCUGUGCAUGAGCUAGUUGGUGAGGUAACGGCUCACCAAGGCCACGAUGCAUAGCCGAUCUGAGAGGGUGAUCAGCCACACUGGGACUGAGACACGGCCCAGACUCCUACGGGAGGCAGCAGUGGGGAAUCUUGGGCAAUGGGCGAAAGCCUGACCCAGCAACGCCGCGUGAAUGAAGAAGGUUUGCGGAUCGUAAAACGCUGUUGUUAGGGAAGCGGUAUCUAACGAGAAAGCAACGGCUAACUACGUGCCAGCAGCCGCGGUAAUAC
rnacentral:rRNA from 1 species